rnacentral:rRNA from 1 species
UGCCAGCCGCCGCGGUAAUACGGAGGGGGUUAGCGUUGUUCGGAAUUACUGGGCGUAAAGCGCACGUAGGCGGACUGGAAAGUUGGGGGUGAAAUCCCAGGGCUCAACCCUGGAACUGCCUCCAAAACUAUCAGUCUAGAGUUCGAGAGAGGUGAGUGGAACUUCUGGUGGAGCGGUGAAAUGCGUAGAUAUCAGAAGGAACACCGGUGGCGAAAGCGACUCACUGGCUCGUUUCUGACGCUGAGGUGCGAAAGCGUGGGUAGCAAACAGGAUUAGAUA